CUGAGAGGAAGGAACCUCAACUGAGAAAAUGCCUCCAUAAGAUGGGGCUAUAGCUGUUUCAAAGGGGCACACGGUGAUCCUCAGAUGUAGUGGACAUGCAGAGAACUGCGUUUGUUAGUCUGCCACCACCACCACUAGCCAGAGGGUUUCAUCCAACAACUUCAUCUUCAAGAGACAACACAGAUAGACCCUUCCUAGUAGGGCUGUCCAUGGGGAUUUUAGUCUCAACAGGUGGAAUUAACUCUUCUUUUACUUCCAACAUUGAUUUUUUAAAAAGACAUGUACUAAAAAGCAAUUUAUUCUAACUACCUCAUAUCUUUCCACAG
rnacentral:lncRNA from 1 species